rnacentral:rRNA from 1 species
UAGCAUAUCAAUAAGCGGAGGAAAAGAAACCAACAGGGAUUGCUCUAGUAACGGCGAGUGAAGCAGCAAUAGCUCAAAUUUGAAAUCUGGCGUCUUCGACGUCCGAGUUGUAAUUUGUAGAGGAUGCUUCUGAGUAACCACCGACCUAAGUUCCUUGGAACAGGACGUCAUAGAGGGUGAGAAUCCCGUAUGCGGUCGGAAAGGUGCUCUAUACGUAGCUCCUUCGACGAGUCGAGUUGUUUGGGAAUGCAGCUCUAAAUGGGAGGUAAAUUUCUUCUAAAGCUAAAUAUUGGCCAGAGACCGAUAGCGCACAAGUAGAGUGAUCGAAAGAUGAAAAGCACUUUGGAAAGAGAGUUAAAAAGCACGUGAAAUUGUUAAAAGGGAAGGGAUUGCAACCAGACUUGCUCGCGGUGUUCCGCCGGUCUUCUGACCGGUCUACUCGCCGCGUUGCAGGCCAGCAUCGUCUGGUGCCGCUGGAUAAGACUUGAGGAAUGUAGCUCCCUCGGGAGUGUUAUAGCCUCUUGUGAUGCAGCGAGCGCCGGGCGAGGUCCGCGCUUCGGCUAGGAUGCUGGCGUAAUGGUCGUAAUCCGCCCGUCUUGAAACACGGACCAAGGAGUCUAACAUCUAUGCGAGUGUUCGGGUGUCAAACCCCUACGCGUAAUGAAAGUGAACGGAGGUGAGAACCGCAAGGUGCAUCAUCGACCGAUCCUGAUGUCUUCGGAUGGAUUUGAGUAAGAGCAUAGCUGUUGGGACCCGAAAGAUGGUGAACUAUGCCUGAAUAGGGUGAAGCCAGAGGAAACUCUGGUGGAGGCUCGCAGCGGUUCUGACGUGCAAAUCGAUCGUCAAAUUUGGGUAUAGGGGGCGAAAGACUAAUCGAACCAUCUAGUAGCUGGUUCCUGCCGAAGUCU